GUGGGUGCAACUUUGCUGGGUGAGAGGGCAGCAGGUGGAGCAGAGUCCUUCAGCCCUGAGGCUCCAGGAGGGAACCAGCCCUACUCUGAGGGACAAAGCAGGAGGGAAGGUUAAAGGCAACAGCAGAUGCUAAGGAGCGCUACAGCACCCUGCACAUCUCCACCUCCCAGCUGGAAGAC